rnacentral:rRNA from 1 species
AGCGAACGCUGGCGGCAGGCCUAACACAUGCAAGUCGAACGAAGUCUUCGGACUUAGUGGCGGACGGGUGAGUAACACGUGGGAACGUGCCUUUAGGUUCGGAAUAACUCAGGGAAACUUGUGCUAAUACCGAAUGUGCCCUUCGGGGGAAAGAUUUAUCGCCUUUAGAGCGGCCCGCGUCUGAUUAGCUAGUUGGUGAGGUAAAGGCUGACCAAGGCGACGAUCAGUAGCUGGUCUGAGAGGAUGAUCAGCCACAUGGGGACUGAGGCACGGCCCGACCUACUACGGGAGGCAGCAGUGGGGAAUCUGGCGCAAUGGGCGAAAGCCUGACGCAGCCAUGCCGCGUGAAUGAUGAAGGUCUUAGGAUUGUAAAAUUCUUUCACCGGGGACGAUAAUGACGGUACCCGGAGAAGAAGCCCCGGCUAACUUCGUGCCAGCCGCCGCCGUAA